ensembl:lncRNA
CAGUGCCCCUAAAUCAUUUGUAUAAUCUUUAUGGUAUAAGCCAUUAUUUUCAAACAGAUUAAGCUGGAUAUUCUAGAUUCGCCUCUCAUCCAAGCACGAGGUUAGUUUUUACAUGUGUCUAAAACCACAGAAAUGUAUUAAACCAACGCUCGAUUAAACCCUUUUAACUGGUAGGCCUAGUGGUGUGUAGAAUACCAAAUAUGUUAACAGUGAAUUACCUAUAACAUUUAACCCGAGAUCUAUAUUUCAUAUGUAAAAUCAGAUAUUGGUUAAAGAUGUAGGUCUAACGGACAGAAUAAAUAAUAUUGGAAAUAAUAUUGGCUGGCCUAGAAAUGCUCCUUUCCGGUGUCUACUUCUCAACGUGUUGCCGGAGAGUCAAGUUGCAAAUCCUGGGAAAGAUAAAGAAAUUUGAUCUAUCCUUCAAAACAACGACUCAACGACCAAGAGCCCGUGACUCACAUAACUCAUUUACUAAUGGAUAGGUUUUAUGUUUCACGCCACAACAUUGAGGACAGCAGUGGAGAGACGAUUUAUCUCCAGGGAAAUAACCUUGGGGAGGCCGGAAUAAAAAUUUACAUCAUUUCGUAGAAAUAUAAAGAUUUCACACCAUAAUAAAUGAACAACUAAUGCAGUACUAUUAGUAGCCUAAAAUGUACUGAUGCAAAUUGAAACGAAAAAAAAAAAUCGAAAGCAGAUAUAACUGAACAUCAAAAUGAUUCAAUGUAUGACUAAUGGUUUAGCCAAUGAUUUUGGAAAUUGAAAGAAUUAAACAAGCAGCAAAAAAAAAACAUUUAAAAAAAUAAAUACAUAAUAACAAUAAUAUCGAUGGAAAUGUCCAUCGAUGUGUUAACACAUAGGAUAGGCCGAUGGUGCACAUGCGUAAAGAGGAGUCACACCAAUCAAAUAUAAGGCAUAUACGUCAUUACUGAUGCACAAACUGGAUAUCAUAACGGUUGGUUCAUUGGGGCUAUUAUUUGGACAAAGUUAGAGGAAAUAUAUUUAAUCAGAUUCCAGGUUCUAUACCACACGAUGCCUUUUGCAAAUCUCAGU